AGAGUUUGAUCCUGGCUCAGGACGAACGCUGGCGGCAUGCCUAAUACAUGCAAGUCGAACGCUGAAGCACUCUGCUUGCAGAGUGCGGAUGAGUGGCGAACGGGUGAGUAACACGUGGGAAAUCUGCCUAGGAGUGGGGGAUAACAUUCGGAAACGGAUGCUAAUACCGCAUAUCUUUUUGAACCGCAUGGUUCUUAAACGGAAGACGGCUUCGGCUGUCGCUCUUAGAUGAUCCCGCGGCGUAUUAGUUAGUUGGUGGGGUAAAGGCCUACCAAGACCAUGAUACGUAGCCGACCUGAGAGGGUGAUCGGCCACACUGGGACUGAGACACGGCCCACACUCCUACGGGAGGCAGCAGUAGGGAAUCCUCCACAAUGGGUGAAAACCUGAUGGAGCAAUGCCGCGUGAAUGAAGAAGGUCUUCGGAUCGUAAAGUUCUGUUAUUAGAGAAGAACAAGUCAAGGAGUAACUGUCUUGACUUUGACGGUACCUAACCAGAAAGUCACGGCUAACUACGUGCCAGCAGCCGCGGUAAUACGUAGGUGACAAGCGUUGUCCGGAAUUAUUGGGCGUAAAGGGAGCGCAGGCGGUUGGAAUAGUCUGAUGUGAAAGCCCACGGCUUAACCGUGGAAGGUCAUUGGAAACUGUCCAACUUGAAUACAGAAGAGGUAAGUGGAAUUCCAAGUGUAGCGGUGAAAUGCGUAGAUAUUUGGAGGAACACCAGUGGCGAACGCGACUUACUGGUCUGUAAUUGACGCUGAGGCUCGAAAGCGUGGGGUAGCAAACAAGAUUAAAUACCCCUGGUCAGUCACCGCGUAAAACGAUGAGUGCUAAAGGGGUUGAGGGGGGUUUUCCUCCCC
rnacentral:rRNA from 1 species